rnacentral:lncRNA from 1 species
AUUUUAUAAAUUAUACUUUGUAUGGAUUAAGCUAUAGCAAUGACAAGAAAAGAGACUUAGAAUAAGAGAAGCAGAUGCUGGACCAAUAAAAGAAAAAGCAAGCAGCAUCCCUACAUCAGAUAAUGUGGAUAAGGAACAAGGGCAGUGAACUGAAAUGAGAUUUCUAUUAUACAAGAGACCAAUGUGGAUCUCAUUAACAGAUCUUCUAAUUUUGGUGCCCUUUCCAAUUAUCCAUGCUGCCUUCUCUAGUGUAGAUGGCACUCCAGAUCUUACAGAGAGAGGAUAACGAUCUUUACUCUUGAACCCUAUUACUCCCUAUUCAUUUUCAUUGGAAAACCAGUGUGUUGGCUGAUUAGAAGAGUUUUGUGAUAACUCGGUCACUACAAAUUAAAGAUCAGUGGUAGAGAGGUAACCCACACUAUUUAUUUUCUUCUCAUCAGUUCCUAGUUGAUGAAACUACCAUUUUUUAGGAUCUUGGUUAUAGAGCCUCUGUGCAGGAAGAGCCUUCGGUUGUUAUAAUAACAUGGGACUAAACUUGAGACAGCCCGGUGAUCCUUCCAUCUGGCCACUCUUCUGAAUUUGUUUUACCGAAGGCAGCUGAAGAGUUUGUAUGGUGAAACAACAAACUUCAGAAGCAAAAAAAAAUGGGGGAAGAGAUUCAGAAUAAAAUACCAUACCAAGUGAUUGCAGCCUCUAAUGAGACAGAACUACUGUCCUCUUCACAGCUCCUUGCAGCUGAUCCAACAGAUAGAUCUUCGACCUUCACAUCUCAUUUUGAUCCUUUCUGCCACAUCUGUGCCGAGGCGUUGCUGUAUGUACUUUGAGUGUGACUCUUCACAUCCUGGAAUGGUCAGAACUUCUUAGAGCCGAGAAGAUAGGAAGAAGAUGCAGCAAAAUGAUUUUAAAAGCUUGGGAACUUCCUUUUAAAUUCUAAUGUGAAAGAGUUUUCCUAUUGAGCACACACACAUGGCAGUACAAUCCGUUUGUACACGCUUUACCGGUAACUGAGGCAUCAUAGCAACCCAUAUAUCAGUCAUGCCCAUGUGAACAAGCCUGCUGUCAUUUCCACUGGAGACACAUUUCUGGGUUUUCUGGGCUUCCUUAAAGCUGACUACGUUUAAGAGUUCAGGAUUGUGAUGUGCCACAAAAUGUUUUGAUGACAAAUAUCCAUUUAAAAAUUUAUUUUAACUUUUUGGCUGAUAUAAAGAAGAUCUAAUCAUAAACACCCUGGGUGAUGAGAGCAGCAGCAGUCCUUCUUUUUUUUUGGUCCAGCAGCUCUGUAGUUUCUAGAUCUAAGCCCCUAUAGAAAAUAAAAUGUCACUGAAGAUUGGAAUGACUUCA